rnacentral:lncRNA from 1 species
AUGAUCUUUGAUGUCUCUCCUUUCCUAGUCUUGGAAUUGUGGGAGUAUUCAGGAGGCUCAAUUUUUAUGGUAGUAAAACACCUCUACAAACAAACAAACAAAAGGUUCACCAAAAAUAGAAGAGGACAUCAAACCAACAAAAUGAUCAGGUGCUUCUCCAAUUUAAUUGUUUGGAAGCAGUCACUGGAAGCAACACUAUGUGACUCAGCUUUGGUGAUACAGUCCAGCUGGGGUCUGACAGAUGCUCAUACUGACCUAGAACCAGUGACGACUCAGAAAGCUACAUAGGAAACAGUCACUAGGAGCCACUGAGAGUGUAGGAGGAAGAUGGUCCUGAUUAUGACCUUUCACAUCACUUUUGUUGACUUUGGAAAAGUCUCAACUAAUCUGUAUUUUAGUAUCUUCACAUAAACUGAGGAUGAUAAUCACUACCCAUUUCAUAAGCUACUGUGAACAGAAUGUAUAUGAAAGUGUUUUGCAAACUAUGGAGAAUUAUGAAGCUUAACAUGUUAGUUAUUUAUGUAAUGACUCUUAGUAUACUCAUUACUUAUAUGUUAAUGUAUGUUGUCAAAGUCCAUCUGAAAAAACCAUGUGCUACUGCUAAAUAAUUCAAACUCUUCAUGUGGUGUUUUAUUCAGCACACUACUUUGGUUACAAGUGACAGAAACUUCAACUUACACUGCCUUAAACAGAAAAGGGAACUGAUAGGCUUGCAGCAAGAUAAAAUUAGGAUAAUGGAAUUAUUAUUAAUUUUUCUAUGUGUGUUAAUAGCACUGUAGUUAUGCUUUAAAAAACCCCUCUGUUCGAAAUACAACAUAUAGUAAUUAUGGGGAAAUUAAAUGAUGUCUAAGACACUUUCUCACUUUGUGUCUCUGUGUCAUAAUUUGAUAGUUUUCAUAAACAUUUCAAAGAUUUCGUUACUAUAUUUGUUAUGGUGAUCUGUGAC